rnacentral:misc_RNA from 1 species
GGUGAGAGAAAUCGCUCGUCCCCUUCGCCGGAUCUCCCUCCCGAGCGGGCAAUUCAGCAACAGGAGGUCGAAAUCCUCGCCGGGCACAGAAUGAGAAUGGGUGUGAAGCAAGCUCUGAAGAGUAUUGAUGCCUUCCCUCGGGCAGAGGAGCACCUGCUGCAGAAGACUCGAUCUGGAGCUGUUGUUUCCAUUAUUGGGCUUGUGAUAAUGGCCACCCUGUUUGUGCAUGAGCUGAAGUAUUAUCUCACAACGUAUACGGUGCAUCAGAUGUCUGUUGAUCUGAAGCGAGGAGAGACUCUUCCAAUCCAUAUUAACACAACGUUCCCAUCAUUACCUUGUGAUGUCUUAAGCGUGGAUGCUAUCGACAUGUCUGGCAAACAUGAAGUUGACCUGGAUACCAACAUAUGGAAGAUUCGUUUAAAUAGAGAGGGACACAUUAUUGGCCAUG